rnacentral:rRNA from 1 species
ACACGUCGAUGUGGGCGAGGAUUUAACCAUGUUUCUUUCUGCCUGAGAUAAAUUCUUUUUCGUUCGGGUUAUUGUACCACGUUGCUUGUUCUAUUAUUCGAAGGAAGGAAGAGUUCUGCCUCCGAAUUUAUUGGGUAUGGGGAUAUCAAUAAGCGGAGGAAAAGAAACCAACAGGGAUGCCCCAGUAACGGCGAGUGAAGCGGCAAUAGCUCAAAUUUGAAAUCUGAACCCCCUGCGGGCUGAGUUGUAAUUUGCAGAGGAUGCUUUGGGUGAGAUGCCUUCCGAGUCCCCUGGAACGGGGCGCCAGAGAGGGUGAGAGCCCCGUACGGUUGGACGUCGAGCCCCCGUAAAGCUCCCUCGACGAGUCGAGUAGUUUGGGAAUGCUGCUCUAAACGGGAGGUAAAUUCCUUCUAAAGCUAAAUACCUGCCAGAGACCGAUAGCGCACAAGUAGAGUGAUCGAAAGAUGAAAAGCACUUUGAAAAGAGAGUCAAACAGCACGUGAAAUUGUUGAAAGGGAAGCGCUUGCGACCAGACUUGCGCCGGAUCGAUCAUCUGCCGUUCUCGGCGGUGCACUCGGCCCGGUUCAGGCUAGCACCGGUUUCCGCGGGAGGACAAAAGCUGCGGGAAUGUGACUCCUCUGGGAGUGUUAUAGCCCGUGGCACAAUACCCCCGGGGGGACCGAGGACUGCGCCCUGCAAGAUGCUAAUAAACGGGCGGCGAUUUUUCCGCCGGCUAUUAUAAUCCUGGUGGUCCGUGUUUCAAGACGGGAGCCUUUUUCCCCCGGUAAUUGGAAACGCCAGGGGGCCCUUGAUUCCAAAACA